UAAGCCGCAGCGGGAGAGUCCGACAUAACCCGGUCGGCGCCGUAGGAGCAACACCUCCCCAGGAAUCUCUCAGGCACCUGUACCGCCGCGGCAAG
rnacentral:ncRNA from 2 species